rnacentral:rRNA from 1 species
UACGUAGGGGGCAAGCGUUGUCCGAAUUUAUUGGGCGUAAAGAGCGUGUAGGCGGUUUGGUAGGUCCGUUGUGAAAACUCGAGGCUCAACCUCGAGACGCCGAUGGAAACCAUCAGACUAGAGUCCGGAAGAGGAGAGUGGAAUUCCUGGUGUAGCGGUGAAAUGCGCAGAUAUCAGGAAGAACACCCGUGGCUAAGGCGGCUCUCUAGUACGGUACUGACGCUGAGACGCGAAAGCGUGGGGAGCGAACAGG